GACGAACGCUGGCGGCGUGCCUAACACAUGCAAGUCGAACGGUUUAGUCCCGAGAGGCUUGCCUUUUGGAACUAGACAGUGGCGGACGGGUGAUGAACACGUAGGCAAUCUCCCUGUCAAACCGUGAUAACCUCGGGAAUCCUAAGCUAAACGCGGUUAAGCUCCUUUUUGGCAUGAAGGGGGAGUGAAAAGGUGGGACCUGAUGACAGAUGGGACUGCGGGGUAUUAGCUUGUGGGCAGAGUAAGGGCCUACCUAGGAGAGGAUGAGUAGCCGACCUGAGCGGGCCUACGCUGACAGGGGGACUGGGCAACUGCCCAGAGUCCUACGGCACGGAGCAGUAGGGGAGCUUCGGCAGUGGGCGAAAGCAUGACCGAGCGACGCCGGGUGAGUGAGGGCGGCCUUCGGGGUGUAAAACUCUGUUGUGUGGGAAGAAGGGAAAUGGUAGGACCCGUUAGUGACGGUACCGGGCGAGAAAGCCCCGGCUAACUACGUG
rnacentral:rRNA from 1 species